rnacentral:tRNA from 1 species
GGUCCCAUGGUGUAAUGGUCAGCUCUCAGGACUCUGAAUCCUGCAAUCUGAGUUCAAAUCCCAGUGGGACCC